rnacentral:rRNA from 1 species
AGAGUUUGAUUAUGGCUCAGGAUGAACGCUAGCGACAGGCUUAACACAUGCAAGUCGAGGGGCAGCGGGGGAGUAGCAAUACUCCCGCCGGCGACCGGCGCACGGGUGAGUAACACGUAUGAAACCUGCCCGUAGCAGGGGGAUAAGCGGAAGAAAUUCCGUCUAAUACCGCGUAACAACCCGAGGAGGCAUCUCCUCGGGUUUAAAGGGAGCGAUUCCGGCUACGGAUGGUCAUGCGUCGCAUUAGCUUGUUGGCGGGGUAACGGCCCACCAAGGCGACGAUGCGUAGGGGUUCUGAGAGGAAGGUCCCCCACACUGGUACUGAGACACGGACCAGACUCCUACGGGAGGCAGCAGUGAGGAAUAUUGGUCAAUGGCCGCAGGGCUGAACCAGCCAAGUCGCGUGAGGGAUGACG